UUCCUAGAUAACUUCCCCAGCAGUGAUGUGAUGGUGUUUGUGGCUCGGACCUUCCUGUUGUUCCAGAUGAUCACAGUCUACCCCCUUUUGGGAUACUUGGUGCGGGUCCAGAUGAUGGGCCAGAUAUUUGGCAAUCAUUACCCCAGUUUCUUCCAUGUUCUAGCUUUGAACAUCUUAAUUGUUGGAGCUGGUGUCCUGAUGGCCAAGUUUUAUCCCAAUAUUGGAUCCAUCAUAAGGUAUGUUUAAAUGUGUUGCCCUACCUACUUAUACUAUAUGAUUGCUAAUAAUGAAUGGUCCAGUAUGCAGGAUUUAGUGGCAUCUAGCGGUGUAACGAAAAUAAAAUGAUUAUUGUUUUCUGCUUAUAAUGAGGAUAUCAAAACAAAGAAAAGUCAUGUGUAAUUCUAUUCGAUUAUAUAGGAAAUUCAGGUAUAACUCAGCAGGAUGCGUGAGAGUUAUAGUACUGGGCUCGAAGCAAAUUUUUUCACCACCUUCCCAAAACUCACAAGGAGGUGAGCUAACAUUGUUCCACAGCAGUGAGUGACAAGGCUGUCCGCAUAUGUGUCAGAAGACAUUUUUAUUUAUCGGCCUUGUGAGCGCAGACAUUGACUGAUGCUGAUUAUCUCAAUAUGCCAAAUAAUUGGCCUGAUUAAUUGACCAACCAAAUUGGUUUAUCACUAGUAGUGACUAUACUGUUGCGUGUAGAUAGCCAAGUCUAACAUAACUAAACACAACCUUAAUAGUCAUUUAAAAUACUACUAGCGUUUCACUACAAGGCACAAGGUCAUUUAUUUUGUCAUUAUACAACACAAGGUCGCACAACGGCUGUGUCUCAGAGGCAGGGCAGGUCGUCCACUAAUGGGAAGGUUAUUGGUUCGAUCCCCGGCUCCUCCCGACACGUGUUGAAGUAUCUUUGAGCAAGAAUCGUUCCUGAAUCGCUCUCGAUGCAUCGGUGUGUGAAUGUGUAUGAAUGCUUUAGCUGUGUGUAAUUGGAAUUUCUCCUACGGGGAUUAAUAAAGGUAUAUUAUAUCUUAUCUCAUUUAUAUAAAUAUAUAAAUACAAAGACGUAUACACCCAGGAAAUAAUUGUGCAGUGCAUGUUUUGAUUUGCAUCAGUGGGAAUGUAAACAGCAGCAACAACAUAGUGAUGAUAAUAUGGUUUCAUCUUCACAUCAAAAGAAACAGUGGCCAUCUACUUUGACUGCGUUUGAGCGCCAACCAGCCUCUGAUGCCGAAAUGCAUCAUUUACGGGAUAUUCUAGUUUUUGCUAACUAGGGAUAGACCGAUACUGAUUUUUUAGGGCCGAUGCCGAUACCGAUUUUUUUUUUUUCCACCAGCCUUAGCCGAUACCGAUAUGGACUGCCGAUUUUCUUGAGCCGAUAUUUGGAGCCGAUACUACUUUUGCUCCCUCAAUUUACAUCAUAAAAAUGACACAAUGAUAACAAAUGUUACGAGUCUCAAUUUUAAAAAAAGGAACAUUUAUUGAAAUUAAAAAAGGUGAAAAUAAAUUCUGA